rnacentral:rRNA from 1 species
UACGGAGGAUGCAAGCGUUAUCCGGAAUGAUUGGGCGUAAAGCGUCCGCAGGUGGCUAUGUAAGUCUGCUGUUAAAGAGUCUGGCUCAACCAGAUAAAGGCAGUGGAAACUACAUGGCUAGAGUGCGUUCGGGGCAAAGGGAAUUCCUGGUGUAGCGGUGAAAUGCGUAGAGAUCGGGAAGAACAUCGGUGGCGAAAGCGCUCUACUGGACCGCAACUGACACUCAGGGACGAAAGCUAGGGGAGCGAAUGGG